rnacentral:rRNA from 1 species
UACGGAGGUGGCAAGCGUUGCUCGGAAUCACUGGGCGUAAAGGGCGCGUAGGCGGGGAGGUAAGUCGGGUGUGAAAUCCCUCGGCCCAACCGAGGAACUGCGCCCGAGACUGCUUCUCUUGAGUCCCGGAGAGGAAGAUGGAAUUCCUGGUGUAGCGGUGAAAUGCGCAGAUAUCAGGAGGAACACCGGUGGCGAAGGCGGGUCUCUGGGCCGAUACUGACGCUGAGGAGCGAAAGCAUGGGUAGCGAACAGG